CCUACGGGUGGCAGCAGUGAGGAAUAUUGGUCAAUGGAGGCAACUCUGAACCAGCCAAGUCGCGUGCAGGAUGACGGCCCUAUGGGUUGUAAACUGCUUUUAUGCGGGGGUAAACUCCGUCACGUGUGGCGUAUUGCAGGUACCGCAUGAAUAAGGACCGGCUAAUUCCGUGCCAGCAGCCGCGGUAAUACGGAGGGUCCGGGCGUUAUCCGGUUUUAUUGGGUUUAAAGGGUGCGUAGGCGGGUUGUUAAGUUAUGUGUGAAAUGUCGGGGCUCAACCCCGGAACUGCAGCUAAUACUGUGGGACUUGAGAAUAGUUGCGGUAGGCGGAAUGUGUGGUGUAGCGGUGAAAUGCUUAGAGAUCAUGAAGAACACCGAUUGCGAAGGCAGCUUACCAUACUAUAACUGACGUUGAGGCACGAAGGCGUGGGUAGCAAACAGGAUUAGAUACCCCUGUAGUC
rnacentral:rRNA from 1 species